UACCCUUGACAUCCAGAGAAUCUGUUAGAGAUAGUAGAGUGCCUUCGGGAACUCUGAGACAGGUGCUGCAUGGCUGUCGUCAGCUCGUGUUGUGAAAUGUUGGGUUAAGUCCCGUAACGAGCGCAACCCUUAUCCUUAGUUGCCAGCAGGUUAAGCUGGGCACUCUAGGGAGACUGCCUUCGCAAGGAGGAGGAAGGUGAGGACGACGUCAAGUCAUCAUGGCCCUUACGGCUAGGGCUACACACGUGCUACAAUGGGGCGUACAGAGAGUUGCGAUACCGCGAGGUGGAGCCAAUCUCAUAAAGCGCCUCUCAGUUCGGAUUGGAGUCUGCAACUCGACUCCAUGAAGCUGGAAUCACUA
rnacentral:rRNA from 1 species